AAUAAAAACCUACAUACAUACCUAUGUAUGUAUGUACAUUUAACAUUUGCUAACGGACUCUUAAAUGCGAUAUAAAAUAGAUAUGUGUUUCAUGAAUUAAAAAUUAAAAGUUAAAUAAAAAACAACUUUUUUUUAGCUUUUCCGCUUGAAGUUAGUAUCCUCCAUGGAUUUGUAUUAGCAGCACAACAUAACCUAAAUUGCUGGGAAGCUUUGCAUUAAUUUUUGUUUCAGCUAAUUUCUUCGCCACCAGUCAGCACUAAGCAGAGUAACCGGUUACGAAGUGUUUAUUUAUCCCACAGCUUACCACAACAACACUAAACUAAUGGUGAGUUACUUCUAACGUAAAUACAUUCCCAAUUGUGAACAAGCUGACUGAUUAUUCUGCCACUGCAAUCAAAAGCUGAAUACUACCAACUAAUCCAGUGAUUAUUUAGCGCUUUCCAUUUGCUUGGCAAAUACAGAUGAGCUGCUAAUGUACACAAACUAAUCAGUAUAUUUCUGUUUUUUUCGCUGUACUUCAAGAAAACUUUUGCUUUGUCAUUCUCUAUUGGUUUUGACAUUCAUAUACAUACUUCGUUGAAGCUGUCAACUGCGAAGCUAACGUCGCCGUCAUUAUUGUUGUCAUUUUUUUAUUUUCCCCUUUGCAACGGUAGUCAAGUAAAUGCAGUCUACGUCGACAUCGAAAGUGCAGAGGUGACGUCGACGUCGUUAUCUUUGCAGUUGUCGGUUUUUCUCAUAUUUAUGGUUAGUUGUUUGGUGAAUGCAGCAGACGGUGGUGAAAAUUAAAUUUGUGUAAUAAGAAAAUUAUAUGAAAUCGGCACUUUUGCAAAACAAUUUCUGUAAUAAGUGGCUUGCAUUGUAAAC